UCUUUCCUAGUCCUACUUAUUUCAUUGGUGUCUACGUGGACCAUGACAACUGGACCCUUCCCAAUCCAGCCUCUCCAGCCCAGAGGAGAUGUCCUGAACCUUACUGCCAGUCCGAACCUGGAUAUUGAUGUUGAUGAAGAUGGUCGGGCCUAGGACACUACCCUGAGAACUCAUGCAUAGAUAUCCAGAAGCUGAGAUGACUGACUUCAACAACCACAACCAUCUUUCCAUGUGCCAGAGGCACAGCCAAAAGAUGACUGCAGAUAUAAAUUCAGACUGUCUGGAGAUGAAUUCUGGAAUGUCACACCCACAAUAGAAUCAGGAAAACUGCAAAUAGAGAGACUAAAAAGGAAGAGAUAAUGAGAGGCUGACUGUUUAACUCCCUCUCUGCGGGAGACCAUCUUCUGCAGACAUGUUUGUGUUUUGCAUUUCCAGGGAUAUACAGAAAGCAGGGUUAAAUGUGAUCUUCAAUCUUGGUCUGAAUGUGUUAGUGACCUGACAUCCUAGCGGGUUGAUUAGUAUGCUGUGAAGGUCACCUUGUUGAGAAUAGCUAUUAAAUAUUUCUGCACUUCAGCUAAAGAAAUGAAAGUACUUUCUCACUCAAUAUUACUAACCAGCCACUGUUGAAAGGAGCCAGAGAAGAAUAAUUUCAAUCAAUGUGCAAUGCCAAAACUCCUGAAAAUGAUUGUUCACCUGCCAACAUCACGGCUACCAGGUAACAUUCUACUAUCGAUUCUUCACAAACAACUCAAGAAACUUGUCCAUGUAUCUUUUUUUAAACUUUUACCUCUGUUUUGAACUUUUUUUAUUGCUAAUCUUUGUGUAUGUUAGUUUUGUUUUUAUUUUCCUGAUUAGUAACAAAUAAAUUCACUCUUUUAUUAAUGCA